CCCAAGAUAAAAGUCAACAAUUCAAAAUGAAUUAGGAAUAAGAAAUCGUGUGACUAAUUUAGAAUUCCAGUAUUACAUUUUUACCCUUAGAAUUUUAAUUAUAUUUAAAUUACUAAUUAAAUUGUGCAUUUGUAUUAUUAAUCUCAGCCAUCUAUUUUUUCUAAAUCAAUGGUUUAGAUUAGGUUCCUAGUUCUCAUCUUAAGGGGGGUUUCUACAUUAACCCCACCCUAUAUAUAUAUAUAUAUAUAUAUAUAUAUAUAUCAUUCUAAUUUCUUUUCUGUUUUUUUUUUCUAUUUUCUCUCACUAACUAAAAUUUCUCUCUCUAGCUUAUAAGCUUAAUUACUGAAACACUUUGAGAACUUAUAAAGCUCUUAAGAAACUAUAUCUUUUAUAAUUAAGCUCUUAAAACAUCUUAUAAGCUCCUAGUGUAACACCCAGUAUUUUCACUGCAUUAUAUAUAUUAUUAAUAUUGUUUUCUAUGAUUUUAAAGAAGAAAGAGAAGUCUUAAUUUUUAUGUAAAACCUGAACUUAGUUAUUUAACGAGCAAAUUAUAUCGAAAUUUUUAAAAUCAUAGAAGCUCGAGUAUUUCAUGAUUUUAAGGUUGAUAGGAUUUUAUGCAAAAAAGCCCAAUACUUAGCAUUUUGGCUAGCAAUUUUAUUUGAAUGUGAAGUAGCCAGAGCCCAAUUUGUGUAUAUGAAUUCAGUUUUUAAGUAUAAAAACAAUAGCUAUUUGGUUGGGCUAAGAAUAUUAAGAAAUGAUGAGGAAGCCCAAACCCAACAUUCUUUCAUUAAGCAAAUUAGUCAACCUUAUUAGCGUAAGUUAAAUUAUUCAGAUUAUUAAUUCAGACUAGUUAUUCUUCAUACACGUAGCAUUUAGCUUCCACGCAGCUGCUCACACAAACCGACUCAUGUCAGUAUAAGCUUCAUCCCUCAAGCGUUGAACCAUUUUCUUCAUUCUGCAAAAUCUUAACUACUACUCCAGUAAACAUCCAUCCAACACACAAAUUACACACAAUCAUCCACAGCAGACAUCAAAGAAGGUCAGAUACAAGCAAGGGUAAAGCAAUAGUUCAGAAUUACUAGUGUUGUCAGACCACGAUCAGGUUAAGCUGUGAUGCAGAUGGAUGUCAGCAGAGCAAAGCUUUUGAUAUAUAAGUACUAAAUUAGGCUCAAGAUUCCAUGUCUUCAUACAUGUAAUCCACUUAAGCUAUUCCGCUGC